GGUGGGAGCGGGCUUGCUCGCGAUGCAGGCAACACGGUGUCUCUGUCAAACCGAGUGGAUGCCAUCGCGGGCAAGCCCGCUCCCACA
rnacentral:misc_RNA from 1 species